AUUGAACGCUGGCGGCGUGCUUAACACAUGCAAGUCGAUCGGUAACGCGGGGGCAACCCUGGCGACGAGAGGCGGACGGGUGAGGAACGCUUGGGAAUCUGCCUAUCAGCGGGGGACAACACGGGGAAACUCGUGCUAAUACCGCAUACGCUCUACGGAGGAAAGCCGGGGACCACAAGGCCUGGCACCGAUAGAUGAGCCCAAGCCGGAUUAGCUAGUUGGCGGGGCAACGGCCCACCAAGGCGACGAUCCGGAGCUGGUCUGAGAGGACGAUCAGCCACACUGGGACUGAGACACGGCCCAGACUCCUACGGGAGGCAGCAGUGGGGAAUAUUGGACAAUGGGGGAAACCCUGAUCCAGCGACGCCGCGUGGGUGAAGAAGGCCUGCGGGUUGUAAAGCCCUUUCGGUAGGGACGAAAGCUCUCGACCUAACACGUCGGGAGGUUGACUUAACCUACAAAAGAAGCACCGGCUAACUCUGUGCCAGCCGCCGCUGUAAAAC
rnacentral:rRNA from 1 species